AAAGCUUUGUUAUGAAGAAAGUUCUAGGUGUAUUUAAUAAUGAUCCGGCUUUCUCCCCUGAUUCUGCUAAAGUGAGCUCUGAGGAACAUUUCACUGUGAGAAUAUAAUGGAGUUCUUCUUGAUAAAUCCGACAAAAUUGUGUGGCUUCCUCGCAAAACUGCAGGGCCAGGGAAUUUCUUAUUCUCAUCCUAGUUCAAACUCUACCUGCAGAAGUUAAUCAAAUUUUGCAUUUUAGGUUUCUGUUCAAUCCACAGCUUCUUCUCCAGGUUUUUCUUGCUGAAAGAAUGUGAGUGAUGACUUCAAAAAUUUUUACACACGGACCUGAAACUGAUAUUUAGGAUGUCACUUCAACAACUGGAAACCUCUGUGGCUGGUGGUGCCUCUGUUUGGGAUUUGCUUGUACCUGCUGGGCUAUUUCCGCCCACAAGGCCUGGCAGGCUGUGCUUGGCUGGUGUUACUGGCUGGAUCUCAUGCUUGCCAAGGAUAUCAAGUAUAUAUUUGCAUGUUUGGAUUCAACCUCCCAGAAGAGACAAGAGACAAGGAUAUGGCUACCAGGAGAAAGCUUGCUUGUUGGUGGGAAGAUUCCUUUUCAGUUGUCUGAAGGAGACCCAGUAAUGAAUGCCCUUUG
rnacentral:lncRNA from 10 species